rnacentral:lncRNA from 1 species
AGAUGAGGAAACUGAGGCACAGAUGGUUAAGGAAAUUGCCCAAGGUCACACAGUUGGUAUUUCACUGACGUUCUUGAAAGAAAAGGCUUCUGGUUUUAUGGACUGAGACCAUACUACCUAUGUGCGUCUGUAAAAACUGUGACUCUCCCUCUUCUAAUGCUGCCAACCACAAGCUGAGCUUUUUGAAGAUUACCAAGGACAAAGCAGCUCCCUUUUCUGCUCUUCCAGUGUGAUCUCUAAUUUGGUACCACCCCUCCCUGCACACUACCGCGUUCCAUUAAUCCACACACUUCUCUAUAGCUCUUGUGUAGGAUGAUUCUUCCUUCACUUUCUUCCACUCCCUUAAUUCACAUGGAUUUAUUCUCUUUUGUGUCAUCCUUUCAUUUUAUUGGUCCCCCAUAACAGAAGGGCCAUCCUACCACGUUCAAUUAAACUGAUUUAAGAAACUCAAGCACAAGUUGUAGCCCCUAUUCACAUAUUUACCUUCUCAAAUGUUUUUAAGCAACCUGUGUUAAUUAACAUCCUAACAUAAUCUUUCUAAAUUAGUAAUUAACUUUGAUUUAUCCAACUUAGUCUAGUGAUAAAGACAGGAACUUAGUUUAUAGUUUUCCAUAUGGCUAAACUUAAAAAUGUACUUUGUCAUAUAUAAAAGCCUAGGCAUUAACAUGUCUGAAGACACUUGAGAUUUUAUUCUGAAAGGCUCUUAUUGGGAGAAUAUAUCCAAUUUCCACAAGUUUAUCCCAUAAUUUUCCAAUACUAACCUUGGCAUAAGCAUUGAGUGAGUCUUGAACACCUAAGACAAGCGAAGGUCUCUUUGUAAAGAUGUUACCAUUUUGCUUUGUAAAUGUCUCACAAUUUUUGUGGAAAAGCUUAAUGCUAGGUACAUUUCUCAGGUUCUAGAAAUGGGUUCUAAUGAUCUAUUAAAUACUGAUAUUUUA